rnacentral:rRNA from 1 species
GAUGAACGCUGGCGGCGUGCUUAACACAUGCAAGUCGAACGAGAAGUGGAGACGUACACCUUCGGGCGGAAUACUUUACUUCGAGUGGCUGACUGGUGAGUAACGCUUGGGUAGGCUGUCUCAUACAGGGGGCUAACAGUUUGAAACGACUGUUAAUACGGCAUAAGAGCACAGCACCGCAUGCUCCGGCGGUAAAAACGCCGGUUGUAUGAGAUGGACCCGCGUUCGAUUAGCCAGUUGGCGGGGUAACGGCACACGAAAGCCACGAAAGAUAGCCGAGCUGAGAGGAAGGCCCGACACACUGGGAGUGAGACACAGUCCAAACUCCUACGGGAGGCAGCAGUGGGGAAUAUUGCAAAGUGGGGGAAAUCCUGAAGGAGCGACGCUGGGAGAGUGAAGAAGUAUGGCGGUAUGUAAUGCGCUAUAAGAAGGGAAGAAAAUGACAGUACCGGAGGAAGAAGCCCCGGCUAACUACGUG